ACCUCACUUCUGAGGUCUUGGUUCUGCUCCCUUUCUGGCUGGCUCCGUCCACGCGCCCCGCUGUCUUACCAAGGAGGAAGAGCGCACACAGGCAGCUGCGGUCGCCCGGCUUCCUCUGCCGCCGCAGCCCUGGCACCCGGCCAGCCCAGUGACCACCCGUCCAUCCAUCACAAGGAAAUGACACUGAGCUUACUUGUCCUCCUGGGUCAGCUGGAGAUGGUUCGUGGCACAGAGGCAGGUAAGCAAGAUUCACUGCCCGGGACCCCCGGGGUCCCCACCAAAGAUGCCUGAGCAUCCUGGUCCCCGAGGCCGGCCCCUUAGUGGGGUGGGGGAGGGAGCCCCACUGCAGCAGGCUCAGUCCUUCUCCCCCUUCCCGCC
rnacentral:lncRNA from 1 species